rnacentral:sRNA from 1 species
UAUAAAGUAUUACUGCCGAAGACAGUAGGUGCCGCAUGGCGUAACGUAAAGCUACCUACCGAGGAGAAUCAUUAGUAUGAGCUAAUUAUGCCCUUUGUCUUUGGAGACAGAGGGCUUUUCUUUUUA